CUAUACUAUACUAUACUUGAGUUGAGUUAUACUAUACUCUUUAAGGUAUUACUGUUUUGUUUUAAAAAUAUUAAUAUGUUGACAAAUUUAUUAAUUGAUCUAUGAUAUUAGUUGUUCCGACUAUGCAAAUGUAUUCUGCAGCCCUCGUUCCGCAUUUUAUGCUCGUCGCAGGGUGUUUUCCAUAAUAUACUAUGCAUACUACUGUGCACAAAGGAUGCUUUGAUUUAAUUUAUUAAAAUACUAACAGUUGUAUUUUGGUCCAUGUUCAAUUACCUGUCCAUGUUGCUAACUUAAAUAUAGUUUUUUUCUGUAGGUUGGCAUCGAUUCCUGUUGCUUCUGGGCAACACCGUUUUCAGUACUUCAAACUACGUUGAUGUUAUCUUUGCAGCAUAGGAGAACUUUUCAUAUAGUUAUUUUGGAACCGUGACACUAAUACCUGCAGAAACUUUGCACAGCUUUUUGGAAUUGUUAUUCUGGCAUAAAAUUUCAUCCCAUCAUCUGAGAGUUACGAUUCAAGGUGACAAAAUAAUUGUUUUAUUGUGUUGACUAUAAAAGCAAUAGUUGGUGAUCUCACUAUAUAUGAGCGAACUUCUUUGAUGAACUACAUGAUGAAUGAAACAAUACAGGUUAUUUCCUGAAUAAAUAUAGAACCACAUAUUCUUCA